rnacentral:rRNA from 2 species
GGCGGCAGCUACCAUGCAGUCGAGCGGAUGAGUGGAGCUUGCUCCAUGAUUCAGCGGCGGACGGGUGAGUAAUGCCUAGGAAUCUGCCUGGUAGUGGGGGACAACGUUUCGAAAGGAACGCUAAUACCGCAUACGUCCUACGGGAGAAAGUGGGGGAUCUUCGGACCUCACGCUAUCAGAUGAGCCUAGGUCGGAUUAGCUAGUUGGUGAGGUAAAGGCUCACCAAGGCGACGAUCCGUAACUGGUCUGAGAGGAUGAUCAGUCACACUGGAACUGAGACACGGUCCAGACUCCUACGGGAGGCAGCAGUGGGGAAUAUUGGACAAUGGGCGAAAGCCUGAUCCAGCCAUGCCGCGUGUGUGAAGAAGGUCUUCGGAUUGUAAAGCACUUUAAGUUGGGAGGAAGGGCAGUAAGUUAAUACCUUGCUGUUUUGACGUUACCAACAGAAUAAGCACCGGCUAACUUCGUGCCAGCAGCCGCGGUAAUACGAAGGGUGCAAGCGUUAAUCGGAAUUACUGGGCGUAAAGCGCGCGUAGGUGGUUCGUUAAGUUGGAUGUGAAAGCCCCGGGCUCAACCUGGGAACUGCAUCCUAAACUGGCGAGCUAGAGUAUGGCAGAGGGUGGU